rnacentral:rRNA from 1 species
GACGAACGCUGGCGGCGUUCCUAACACAUGCAAGUCGAACGGGGUGAUUUCCUUCGGGAGAUCACUUAGUGGCGAACGGGUGAGUAACGCGUGAGAAACCUGCCUUUCAGUGGGGGACAACAGUUGGAAACGACUGCUAAUACCGCAUAAUGUAUAUUUGGGGCAUGGGAGAUAUAUCAAAGGAGCAAUCCGCUGAAAGAUGGGCUCGCGUUGGAUUAGAUAGUUGGUGGGGUAACGGCCUACCAAGUCAACGAUCCAUAGCCGGACUGAGAGGUUGAACGGCCACAUUGGGACUGAGACACGGCCCAGACUCCUACGGGAGGCAGCAGUGGGGGGAUAUUGCACAAU